rnacentral:rRNA from 1 species
ACGCUGGCGGCGUGCCUAAUACAUGCAAGUAGAACGCUGAAGAGAGGAGCUUGCUCUUCUUGGAUGAGUUGCGAACGGGUGAGUAACGCGUAGGUAACCUGCCUUGUAGCGGGGGAUAACUAUUGGAAACGAUAGCUAAUACCGCAUAACAAUGGGUGACACAUGUCAUUUAUUUGAAAGGGGCAAUUGCUCCACUACAAGAUGGACCUGCGUUGUAUUAGCUAGUAGGUGAGGUAACGGCUCACCUAGGCGACGAUACAUAGCCGACCUGAGAGGGUGAUCGGCCACACUGGGGCUGAGACACGGCCCAGACUCCUACGGGAGGCAGCAGUAGGGAAUCUUCGGCAAUGGGGGCAACCCUGACCGAGCAACGCCGCGUGAGUGAAGAAGGUUUUCGGAUCGUAAAGCUCUGUUGUAAGUCAAGAACGAGUGUGAGAGUGGAAAGUUCACACUGUGACGGUAGCUUACCAGAAAGGGACGGUUAACUACGUGCCAGCAGCCGCGGUAAUACGUAGGUUCCGAGCGUUGUCCGGAUUUAUUGGGCGUAAAGCGAGCGCAGGCGGUUUGAUAAGUCUGAAGUUAAAGGCUGUGGCUCAACCAUAGUUCGCUUUGGAAACUGUCAAACUUGAGUGCAGAAGGGGAGAGUGGAAUUCCAUGUGUAGCGGUGAAAUGCGUAGAUAUAUGGAGGAACACCGGUGGCGAAAGCGGCUCUCUGGUCUGUAACUGACGCUGAGGCUCGAAAGCGUGGGGAGCGAACAGGAUUAGAUACCCUGGUAGUCCACGCCGUAAACGAUGAGUGCUAGGUGUUGGAUCCUUUCCGGGAUUCAGUGCCGCAGCUAACGCAUUAAGCACUCCGCCUGGGGAGUACGACCGCAAGGUUGAAACUCAAAGGAAUUGACGGGGGCCCGCAC